AUACCAUUGUGAUCUAUAUUGGCAAAAUCUCUUGGAAGGAUCACUUGCAAAUACCAUUGUGAUCCUAUGGAGGGAGUUUCGGAACAAAAGCUUCGAGCUCACUUGGGUUCCUUUGGUGUAACUGGAAAUCUUGCACUUCAACCAAUGUAUGCCUUGUCCGAUACAUCUCCUCCAUCUCUGCUAUUGUUGCAAAUGUAAAUGUUUUGUUGAAGCAAAUUUCAUGACGUUGUGAAGCUCUAUCAAAGGUUAGUUAUAAUGUGAAUUGCAAUUUAUUGUGUAUUUUCUCCGAGGCUUUUUGGUUGUUAUUGCCCAUGUAACAUGGUGCUUUGACCAUAUAAAUAGGUGGUCAGAAAAGCAAAGUUGCAUUUAUCAAGAUAACUUUCAAGAAACCUGACAUGGUUUUGCUUGAUGAGCCUUUCAAUCAUUUGAUUGUUAGUUUCUUGUCUAAGGAUAGAUGAGUAUGAUUCUGCGUUUUUUACUAUUCCCGGCUGUUGGAUUUGGAUGCGGUUGAGGUGCUCAUCCAAGGUCUGGUCUUGUUCCAAGGAGAAAUUCUGAUGGUUAGUCAUGAUGAGCAUCUAAUAACUGGAUGCAUGGACGAGCUCUGGGUAGUUUCUCGAGGCAAGGUGGCGCCUUUCCAUCAUUUUGGAUCGGACAAUUCAUAUUUCUUAAAAAAGAGCAAUGUCGGGCGUGUCCUUUAGAGCCAUCAAGUCCCGAUCGUCCCCUUCCAAAUAGGAGAAAGGCUCUCAAGAACGCGACAACCGCCCCUCCCACGAGCGUCCUCAUGGGCUCUCUGGAGCUCCCGUUCUUGCGCAUGCAGAACGUGGCCGCCCCU